UCCAGCUGAGAAGUCAAAAACGCAAGAAUCGCCCCCUCUUUCUCUUCUUGAUGGAUCUCCAUUGCCAUCUUAACAACAUCAGAAACAUAUGGAGCAAUAGAAAUGGGUAAUGGACCAGAAGAACCUAUGGAGGGACCAGGAACAUAAUUGAUUUGAACAGGAAAGCUUCUCCCAAACACAUGAAAGGUUCCACAGCCAAAGAAGUAUUCUGACAAUUUGCUGGCAU
rnacentral:misc_RNA from 1 species